rnacentral:lncRNA from 1 species
AAGAAUUUUUUUUGGGCAUUUAUGGGUGCAACAACUUUGUUUCCCGGUAUUGAAAUCGGUAUCCUUGUUGGGGUGAGCUACAGUUUUUGUAUUGCAUACUUCUUUUUGUGAUGGUUAUAAAGAAAAGCUAAAUAAGCGUUUGUGGGUCCGUCCAACCGGCCGUGCCACAUUCUAAAGUUAACGGUUUUGGCCGGUUAACAUGCACACAAAUUACGGCUUGGUUGUGAAAUCUUGAAGAAGAUGUUUCUUUAUUAAUUUGAUUAUAGUUUAUAGCGAUGACGGAGUUAUAGCAUCCUUUAAUGUCCUAAACGGGGCGGUGAUUCCUUUCGGUACGUGGAACCUGACGUGCAAUGUGCGGCAUAAAAACAUA